rnacentral:tRNA from 1 species
AGCUAGUAGUUUAAAUUAAAAUAUUAGUUUUGGAGACUAAAGAUAUUAAGUUUUCUUGCUGAU